rnacentral:lncRNA from 1 species
CUUACUGUAAAAUUUUAUAAUUAGUUGCAUAAAAUUCCAAGAAAUAUCACCUAAUGUCAUCAACCAUUUAAUUCUGAGUAUGGCCUCAUGAUCAUCAAGAGAGAGGAGGAAGAAAUAUGCAAUUAUCUCUUGGUCCUGCAGCAACAGUUUCACCUGCGGGCACCUAUGAUCACACUUCAAAAUCCGUCUGUUGGCGACCUUAACGACAAACCUGCUGCAAUUCUCAAUAGGUAAGUUCAUAUGGAC